AUGUACAUUCCUACAACAUUAAUGCAUCAGAUCCCAUCGAAACUCCAUAGUUAAGCAUUCUUGGGAUAGAUUAGUAUUGGGAUGGGUGACCUCCCAAGAAGUCUUAGCAUUUUACUUG
rnacentral:rRNA from 1 species